rnacentral:lncRNA from 1 species
UGGCGGAUGUGUUCACCCGUAUUUUUUUUUCUUCUGUAUAAAAAGUUUGGUGUUCAUUUGGACAUGACAUUCAGAUCCAACACACUCUCUCUGACUCUUCGCCCACUUGUAACCAGAACCUGAGUUUCGCCCGUGGUUCAAAGAUCCAAGUGAGGUUCAUCUUCGACAUUCCCACGGACAUUAAUGGACAUGGAUGGCCAGCUGUGUUGGAGACGCUCGUUUCUUAGAACAGGGAUAUUUGGAAGGAGCUAUCAGAAAAACUGAAGAAAAAAAAAAAAAAAGAAAAACCCAAGAAACUCAUCAAAGAAACCAAGGUGGCAAGUCACAUCUGCAUUUAAAUAGAAAAAUGAAUCCCAAUUGAGAUUUCAGCUCCUGGAAUCAACAAGAAAGCAAUCAGAAGAAGGAACAUGCUGCAGAAAUAAAGACCAACUCAGCCAAGAUUACUACA